UUAGUAUUAGAUAUGAUCUUGAAAUUUAAAAAAUUUGGCGGUAUUUUAGUCUUUUCAGAGGAACCUGUUCUAUAAUCGAUAGUCCACGAUAUUUAAUACUUUUUUAAUUAGUUUGUAUAUCGUCGUAGUUUGAAUAUUUUAAAAGAAUUUUAAUAUUGAAAAUUUUUUAUAAUAAAAUAAAUCAGAUCAAGGUAUAGCUUAUAAAAAAGAAGAAAUGGGUUACAAUAAUUAUAAUUAUUAAGGAUAAUAAAUAAAAUAGAUUUAUUUGAAUGUGGAUUUGAAAGUAAUAUAAUUUAUUUUAAUUAUAUGAUUUUAGCUCUAAAAUAUGCACAUAUCGCCGGUGGUUUUCAUAUAAAGUGAGAUAGUUCGUACCAAUGUGAUGUACCGGAAAGUGGAUCUAGAUGACCAAAUUAGAGGCUGGAUAAAGCAUUUUAGUUACAUUAAAAAGAUAAUUGUUUAUUCAAUUUAAUUUGAAUUUAAAAAAUUAUUAUAAUUAUUUUUUAAUAAAAUAUUAUUAAAUUUAGUAUUAAAUAAGAAAAAAUUAAAUUUAUUAUAGAUAAUAGUAUAGUAAUAGAAAUUUUAAUAAUAUUAAAUUUUUAAAAGAAAAACUUAUUUUUUGUACCUUGUGUAUCAGGGAUUAUUAAAAAUAAUUUUAAAUAUUUUAAAUUUCUCGAUUUUAAAAGAGUUAAUAGUUUAUAUAUUUUAUUGUAUUAUAAAUAUUUAUAAUAAAUUAUUAGUAAUGAAAUGUUAUUCGUUUUUAAAUAUAUCUAGUUUUUUAAGAAAUAAAUUAAAUUUAAUUAUUAAUAGAAAUCUAUAUAAUUAAAAAUUAGGAUUUUAUUAAUAUUAUAUAUUUUAAGGGAUAAGCUUUAAAAUUUAUUUAUAUAAAAUAUUUAAUUUUAAAUAAAAGUAGAAUUAAAAAUUUUUAUCAUUUAUAAUUUGUUAUAAUUAAUUUUUUGUUUAAUAUUAUUUAUAAAAUUUUUAUAUUUUUUAUUAAAAUUAUUUAUUUAAUUUGAAAAUAAAUGUAAUAAUGAUAAUAUUAGUAUAAUUUUAUGUUAAAAUUUAUUUAAAUAGAAAGGUUAAAUAAAGGAAUUCGGCAAAAUAAUUUUUCGCCUGUUUAUUAAAAACAUGUCUUUUUGAUAAUAAUUUAAAGUCUAACCUGCCCAAUGAUAAUUUAAUGGCCGCAGUAUUUUGACUGUGCAAAGGUAGCAUAAUCAUUAGUUUUUUAAUUGAAAGCUGGAAUGAAUGGUUGAACGAAAAAAUUUCUGUCUCUAUUUAAUUUAAUUAGAAUUUUAUUUUUAAGUUAAAAAGCUUAAAUAAUUUUAAAAGACGAGAAGACCCUAUAGAGUUUUAUAUUUUAAAUUUUAAAUAUUUUAGAAAUUUUAUUAAAAUUAUAAUAUUUAAUUGGGGUGAUUAAUAAAUUUAAAAAACUUUAUUUAUAUAUAGUCAUUAAUAAAUGAAUAAAUGAUCCAAUAAUUUUGAUUAUAAGAUUAAAUUACCUUAGGGAUAACAGCGUAAUUUUUUUAGAGAGUUCUUAUCGAAAAAAAAGAUUGCGACCUCGAUGUUGGAUUAAAGUUAAUUUUAGGUGUAGAAGCUUAAAAAUUUAGUCUGUUCGACUAUUAAAACUUUACAUGAUCUGAGUUCAAACCGGAGA
rnacentral:rRNA from 1 species